rnacentral:ncRNA from 1 species
GAGAGCCGUAUACAUUGAGAAAUGUACGUACGGUUCGGAGGGGGGUUCUCGAAAAACCUACUUUAGCAAUAAAGAAAGGCGUUUGGUUCCCACCCUAC